rnacentral:lncRNA from 1 species
ACACGCACACACACACACACACGCACACAUACACACACUCCCCUUCCCUUCCCUCCCCACCCCACCCCCGCAAACGGCCUCUCGCUAAAUGUAUUCUCUGUGUAUUCAUGAAACAGACUGAGGAAUGGUACAGAUCAGAUGAGGAUGACAGCCAUAUUUUUGUUGCUUUGAUAAUUGAUAAGCUCUCUUGGUUCGCAGCUCCACAUUCCCAGCCAUGGACUAAAAGCUCUAAAGUUGUCACUGUAUGUUCCACAUUUUAGCUGCUGUGUCUGUUGGGGAUGUUAGGGAUGUUAGGGCUGUUAGGGCUGUGGUGGGCUGUUGUGGGCUGUUAGAGCUGUUAGAGCUGUGGUGAGCUGUAAGAGCUGUUAGGGCUGUGGUGAGCUGUUAGGGUUGUUAGAGCAUUUGAGGCUGUGGUGAGCUGUUGCAGCUGUUGGGACUGUGAUGAGCUGUUAGGGCUGUGGUGAGCAGAUAGGGCUGUUAGGGCUGUGGUGAGCUGUUAGGGUUGUUAGAGCGGUUGGGGCUGUGGUGAGCUGUUAGAGGGGUUAGGGCUGAGGUGAGGUGUUAGAGCUGUUAGGGCUGAGGUGAGGUGUUAGAGCUGUUAGGGCUGUGGUGAGCAGUUAGAGCUGUUGGUGCUGUUGGGGCUGUGGUGAGCUGUUAGGACUGUUGCAGCUUUGGUGAGCUGCAGGGCUGCGGUGAGCUGCUAGGGCUGUUAGGGUUGUUAGGGCGGUUAGGGCUGUGGUGAACAGUUAGGAUUGUUAGAGCUGUUGUGGCUGUGGGGAGCUGUUAGAGCUGUUUGGUCUUGUGUGAGCUGUUAGGGCUGUUGGGGAUGUGGUGAGCUGUUAGGGCUGUGGUGAGCUGUUAGAACAGUUAGAGGAUUUGGGACUGUGGUGAGCUGUUAGAACUGUUAGAGCUGUUAGAGGAUUUGGAACUGUGGUGAGCUGUUAGAACUGUUAGAGCUGUCAGGUGUGCUGAGCUGUUAUAGCUGUUGGGGCUGUGGUGAGCUGUUAGAGCUGUUGGGGCUGUGGUGAGCUGUUAGAGCUGUUGGGGCUGUGGUGAGUUUUUAUAGCUGUUGGGGCUGUGGUGAGUUUUUAUAGCUGUUGGGGCUGUGGUGAGCUGUUAGAGCUGUUAUGGCUUUUAGAACUGUUAGGGAUGUGGUGAGCUGUUAGAGCUGUUACUGCUGUAGUGAGCUAUUAGAGCUGUGGUGAGCUGUUAGAGCUGUUAGAGCUACUAGGGCUGUGGUGAGCUGUUAGAGCGGUUGAUGCUGUUGGGGCUGUUGUGAGCUGAUAGAGCUGUGGUGAGCUGUUAGAGCUGUUGGGACUGUUGGCGCUGUGGUGAGCUGUUAGGACUGUUGCAGCUGUGGUGAGCUGCAGGGCUGUGGUGAGCUGCUAGGGCUGUUAGGGUUGUUAGGGCUGUUAGGGCUGUGGUGAACAGUUAGGAUUGUUAGAGCUGUUGCGGCUGUGGGGAGCUGUUAGAGCUGUUUGGUCUUGUGUGAGCUGUUAGGUUUGUUAGGGCUGUGGUGAUCUGUUUGGGCUGUUGGGGAUGUGGUGAGCUGUUAGAACUGUUGGGGCUGUGGUGAGCUGUUAGGGCUGUGGUGAGCUGUUAGGGCUGUUGGGGAUGUGGUGAGCUGUUAGAACUGUUGGGGCUGUGGUGAGCUGUUAGAACUGUUGGGGCUGUGGUGAGCUGUUAGGGCUGUGGUGAGCUGUUAGGGCUGUUGGGGAUGUGGUGAGCUGUUAGAACUGUUGGGGCUGUGGUGAGCUGUUAGGGCUGUGGUGAGCUGUUAGAACUGUUAGAGCUGUCAGGUGUGCUGAGCUGUUAUAGCUGUUGGGGCUGUGGUGAGCUGUUAGAGCUGUUGGGGCUGUGGUGAGUUUUUAUAGCUGUUGGGGCUGUGGUGAGCUGUUAGAGCUGUUGGGGCUGUGGUGAGCUGUUAGAGCUGUUGGGGCUGUGGUGAGUUUUUAUAGCUGUUGGGGCUGUGGUGAGCUGUUAGAGCUGUUGGGGCUGUGGAGAGCUGUUCGAGCUUUUAGGGCUGUGAUGAGCUGUUAGAGCUGUUAUGACUUUUAGAACUGUUAGGGAUGUGGUGAGCUGUUAGAGCUGUUACUGCUGUAGUGAGCUAUUAGAGCUGUGGUGAGCUGUUAGAGCUGUUAGAGCUACUAGGGCUGUGGUGAGCUGUUAGAGCUGUGAGGGCUAUGGUGAGAUUUUUGGGCAGUUACAGCUGUUUGGGCUGUGGUGAGCCGUUAGAGCUACUAUGGCUGUGGUGAGCUGUUAGAGCUGGUAGGGCUGUUUGAGCUACUAGGGCUGUGGUGAGCUGUUAGGGCUGUUAGAGCUACUAGAGCUGUGGUGAGCUGUUAGGGAUGUGGUGAGCUUUUAGAGCUGUUGGGGCUGUGGUGAGCUGUUAGAGCUGUUAGAGCUGAUAGGGCUGUGGUGAGCUGUUAAAACUGUUAGGGGUGUGGUGAGCUUUUAGAGCUGUUGGGCUGUGUUGAGCUGUCAGAGCUGUUAGGGCUGUAGUGAGCUGUUAGAGCUGUUAGGGCUGUGGUGAGCUGUUAUAGCUGUUGGGGCUGUGGUGAGCUGUCAGGGCUGUGUUGAGCUGCAUGGGCUGUUGGAGCUGUUGGGUUAGUGGUGAGCUGUUAGAGCUGCUAGGGUUGUGGUGAACUUUUAGGGCUGUUUGGGCUGUGGUGAGUUGUUAGGGCUUUUGGGGCUGUGGUGAACUUUUAGGGCUGUUUGGGCUGUGGUGAGCUGUUAGAGCUGUGGUGAGCUGUUAGGGCUGUUAGAGCUACUAGGGCUGUGGUGAGCUGUUAGAGCUGUUAGAGCUGUUAGAGCUACUAGGGCUGUGAUGAGCUGUUAGAGCUGUUAGGGCUGUGGUGAGAUUUUGGGGCAGUUACAGCUGUUUGGGCUGUGGUGAGCUGUUAGAGCUGUUAGAGCUACUAGAGCUAUGGUGAGUUGUUAGAGCUGUUAGAGCUGUUAGAGUUGUUAGAGCUGCUAGGGCUGUGGUGAGCUGUUCGAGCUGUUAGGGCUGUUAGAGCUACUUGGGAUUUGGUGAGCUGUUAGAGCUGUUAGGGCUGUUAGAGCUGCUAGGGCUGUGGUGAGCUGUUAGAGCUGUUAGAGCUACUAGAGCUGAUAGAGCUACUAGAGCUGUGGUGAGCUGAUAGAACUGGUAGGGCUGUUAGAGCUACUAUGGCUGUGGUGAGCUGUUAGAGCUGUUAGGGCUGUUUGAGCUACUAGAGCUGUGGUGAGCUGUUAGGGCUGUUAGAGCUACUAUGGCUGUGGUGAGCUGUUAGAGCUGUUAGGGCUGUUUGAGCUACUAGAGCUGUGGUGAGCUGUUAGGGCUGUUAGAGCUACUAUGGCUGUGGUGAGCUGUUAGAGCUGUUAGGGCUGUUAGAGCUACUAGGGCUGUGGUGAGCUGUUAGAGCUGUUAGGGCUGUUAGAGCUACUAGGGCUGUUGUGAGCUGUUAAAGCUGUUAGGGCUGUUAGAGCUACUAGAGCUGUGGUGAGCUGUUAGAGCUGUUAGGGCUGUUAGAGGUACUAGAGCUGUGUUGAGAUUUUUGGGCAGUUACAGCUGUUUGGGCUGUGGUGAGCUGUUAGAGCUGUUAGAGCUGUUAGAGCUGGGGUGAGCUGUGGUGAGCUGUUAGGGCUGUUAGAGCUACUAGAGCUGUUGUGAGCUGUUAAAGCUGUUAGGGCUGUUAGAGCUACUAGAGCUGUGGUGAGCUGUUAGGGCUGUUAGAGCUACUAGAGCUGUUGUGAGCUGUUAAAGCUGUUAGGGCUGUUAGAGCUACUAGAGCUGUGGUGAGCUGUUAGAGCUGUUAGGGCUGUUAGAGCUACUUGAGCUGUGGUGAGCUGUUAUGGUUGUUAGAGAUUGGGGAUGUGGUGAGCUGUUACAGCUGUUUGGGCUGUGGAGAGCUGUUAGAGCUGUGGUGAGCUGUUAGGGCUGUUAGAGCUACUAGAGCUGGGGUGAGCUGUUAGAGCUGUGGUGAGCUGUUAGGACUGUUAGGGCUGUUAAAGCUACUAGAGCUGUGGUGAGCUGUUAAAGCUGUGGUGAGCCGUUAGAGCUACUAUGGCUGUGGUGAGCUGUUAGAGCUGGUAGGGCUGUUUGAGCUACUAGGGCUGUGGUGAGCUGUUAGGGCUGUUAGAGCUACUAGAGCUGUGGUGAGCUGUUAGGGAUGUGGUGAGCUUUUAGAGCUGUUGGGGCUGUGGUGAGCUGUUAGAGCUGUUAGAGCUGAUAGGGCUGUGGUGAGCUGUUAAAACUGUUAGGGGUGUGGUGAGCUUUUAGAGCUGUUGGGCUGUGGUGAGCUGUCAGAUAUGUUAGGGCUGUGGUGAGCUUUUAGAGCUGUUGGGGCUGUGGUGAGCUGUCAGAGCUGUUAGGGCUGUGAUGAGCUGUUUGAGCUGUUAGGGCUGUGGUGAGCUUUUAGAGCUGUUGGGGCUGUGGUGAGCUGUCAGAGCUGUUAGGGCUGUAGUGAGCUGUUAGAGCUGUUAGGGCUGUGGUGAGCUGUUAUAGCUGUUGGGGCUGUGGUGAGCUGUCAGGGCUGUGUUGAGCUGCAUGGGCUGUUGGAGCUGUUGGGUUAGUGGUGAGCUGUUAGAGCUGCUAGGGUUGUGGUGAACUUUUAGGGCUGUUUGGGCUGUGGUGAGCUGUUAGCGCUGUUGUGGCUAAUGAUCCUGUGGUGAGCUGUUAGGGCUGUUAGAACUGUUAGGGCUGUGGUGAGCUGUUAGGGCUGUUAGAACUGUUAGAGCUGUGGUGAGCUGUUAGGGCUUUUAGAACUGUUAGAGCUGUGGUGAGCUGUUAUAGCUGUUGGGGCGGCGGUGAGCUGUUAUAGCUGUUGGGGCUGUGGUGAGCUGUUAGAGCUGUGUUGAGCUGCAUGGGCUGUUGGAGCUGUUGGGUUUGUGGUGAGCUGUCAGAGCUGUAGGGACAUUGGUGAGCUGUUCGAGCUUUUAGGGCUGUGAUUAGCUGUUAGAGCUGUUGUGGCUAUUGACGCUGUGGUGAGCUGUUAGGGCUGAUAGAACUGUUAGGGAUGUGGUGAGCUGUUAGAGCUGUUACUGCGGUAGUGAGCUAUUAGAGCUGUGGUGAGCUGUUAGGGCUGUUAGAGCUAUUAGGGCUGUGGUGAGCUGUUAGAGCUGUUAGAGCUGUUAGAGCUACUAGGGCUGUGAUGAGCUGUUAGAGCUGUUAGGGCUGUGGUGAGAUUUUGGGGCAGUUACAGCUGUUUGGGCUGUGGUGAGCUGUUAGAGCUGUUAGAGCUACUAGAGCUAUGGUGAGUUGUUAGAGCUGUUAGAGCUGUUAGAGUUGUUAGAGCUGCUAGGGCUGUGGUGAGCUGUUCGAGCUGUUAGGGCUGUUAGAGCUGCUAGGGCUGUGGUGAGCUGUUAGAGCUGUUAGAGCUACUAGAGCUGAUAGAGCUACUAGAGCUGUGGUGAGCUGAUAGAACUGGUAGGGCUGUUAGAGCUACUAUGGCUGUGGUGAGCUGUUAGGGCUGUUAGAGCUACUAUGGCUGUGGUGAGCUGUUAGAGCUGUUAGGGCUGUUUGAGCUACUAGAGCUGUGGUUAGCUGUUAGGGCUGUUAGAGCUACUAUGGCUGUGGUGAGCUGUUAGAGCUGUUAGGGCUGUUAGAACUACUAGGGCUGUGGUGAGCUGUUAGAGCUGUUAGGGCUGUUAGAGCUACUAGGGCUGUUGUGAGCUGUUAAAGCUGUUAGGGCUGUUAGAGCUACUAGAGCUGUGGUGAGCUGUUAGAGCUGUUAGGGCUGUUAGAGGUACUAGAGCUGUGUUGAGAUUUUUGGGCAGUUACAGCUGUUUGGGCUGUGGUGAGCUGUUAGAGCUGUUAGAGCUGUUAGAGCUGGGGUGAGCUGUGGUGAGCUGUUAGGGCUGUUAGAGCUACUAGAGCUGUUGUGAGCUGUUAAAGCUGUUAGGGCUGUUAGAGCUACUAGAGCUGUGGUGAGCUGUUAGGGCUGUUAGAGCUACUAGAGCUGUUGUGAGCUGUUAAAGCUGUUAGGGCUGUUAGAGCUACUAGAGCUGUGGUGAGCUGUUAGAGCUGUUAGGGCUGUUAGAGCUACUUGAGCUGUGGUGAGCUGUUAUGGUUGUUAGAGAGAUUGGGGAUGUGGUGAGCUGUUACAGCUGUUUGGGCUGUGGAGAGCUGUUAGAGCUGUGGUGAGCUGUUAGGGCUGUUAGAGCUACUAGAGCUGGGGUGAGCUGUUAGAGCUGUGGUGAGCUGUUAGGACUGUUAGGGCUGUUAAAGCUACUAGAGCUGUGGUGAGCUGUUAGAGCUGUGGUGAGCUGUUAGAGCUGUGGUGAGCUGUUAGGACUGUUGGCGCUGUUAGGGGUGGUUCAAGGAGUUAUUUUGACCUGUAAUGCUCCUCUGGGGUGUCUGCUUAGUAUGGGCAGAGCUGGACAGCCAGGGUCAGGGGUGAUGGCUACCCAAGCAUGGUAGAAGGGUAUCGGAGGACAAGUCCAUAGACAAAGCAGGUAUAGAGAGUUCAGAAUCAAAGCAGAGAUCUCAAGGGAAGGUAUGAAGGAACAGGCAGGGGGCAAGGGGGGG